AGAACGAACGCUGGCGGCAUGCCUAACACAUGCAAGUCGAACGAGACCUUCGGGUCUAGUGGCGCACGGGUGCGUAACGCGUGGGAAUCUGCCCUUGGGUUCGGAAUAACAGCGAGAAAUUGCUGCUAAUACCGGAUGAUGACGUAAGUCCAAAGAUUUAUCGCCCAAGGAUGAGCCCGUCGUAGGAUUAGCUUGUUGGUGAGGUAAGAGCUCACCAAGGCGACGAUCCUUAGCUGGUCUGAGAGGAUGAUCAGCCACGACUGGGACUGGAGACACGGCCCAGACCUCCGUACGGGAGCAGCAGGUGGGAAUAGUUAGGACAAGUGGGCGCGAAGCCUAGGA
rnacentral:rRNA from 1 species